UACAGAGGGGGCAAGCGUUGUUCGGAAUUACUGGGCGUAAAGGGCGCGUAGGUGGCCUUCUAAGUUGAACGUGAAAUCCCUGGGCUCAACCCAGGAACUGCGUCCAAGACUGGGAGGCUUGAAUCCGGGAGAGGGAUGCGGAAUUCCAGGUGUAGCGGUGGAAUGCGUAGAUAUCAGGAGGAACACCGGUGGCGAAGGCGGCUAGCUGGGCCGGUUCUGACGCUCAUGUGCGAAAGCGUGGGGAGCAAACAGG
rnacentral:rRNA from 1 species